GGUAUAGACCCGAAACCCGGUGAUCUAGCCAUGGGCAGGUUGAAGGUUGGGUAACACUAACUGGAGGACCGAACCGACUAAUGUUGAAAAAUUAGCGGAUGACUUGUGGCUGGGGGUGAAAGGCCAAUCAAACCGGGAGAUAGCUGGUUCUCCCCGAAAUCUAUUUAGGUAGAGCCUUGAGCGGACACCUUCGGGGGUAGAGCACUGUUUCGGCUAGGGGUCCAUCCCGGAUUACCAACCCGAUGCAAACUACGAAUACCGAAGAGUGAUACUCAGGAGACACACGGCGGGUGCUAACGUCCGUCGUGGAGAGGGAAACAACCCAGACCGCCAGCUAAGGUCCCAAAGUCUAUAUUAAGUGGGAAACGAAGUGGGAAGGCUUAGACAGCUAGGAUGUUGGCUUAGAAGCAGCCAUCAUUUAAAGAAAGCGUAAUAGCUCACUAGUCGAGUCGGCCUGCGCGGAAGAUGUAACGGGGCUCAAAUAUAGCACCGAAGCUGCGGCAUCAGACGAAAGUCUGUUGGGUAGGGGAGCGUUCUGUAAGCGGAUGAAGGUGGCUCGAGAGGGCUGCUGGACGUAUCAGAAGUGCGAAUGCUGACAUAAGUAACGAUAAAACGGGUGAAAAACCCGUUCGCCGGAAGACCAAGGGUUCCUGUCCAACGUUAAUCGGGGCAGGGUGAGUCGGCCCCUAAGGCGAGGCUGAAAAGCGUAGUCGAUGGGAAACGGGUUAAUAUUCCCGUACUUGGAUAAACUGCGAUGUGGGGACGGAGCAGGUUAGGUUAUCGCACUGUUGGAUAUGUGCGUUUAAGUUGGUAGGUGAGAAGUUUAGGCAAAUCCGGACUUCUUUAACACCGAGAGAUGAUGACGAGGCUCUACGGAGCUGAAGUAACCGAUACCACACUUCCAGGAAAAGCCACUAAGCUUCAGGUUUAUCUAAACCGUACUGAAAACCGACACAGGUGGUCAGGUAGAGAAUACUCAGGCGCUUGAGAGAACUCGGGUGAAGGAACUAGGCAAAAUAGCACCGUAACUUCGGGAGAAGGUGCGCCGGCGUAGAUUGUAGUCCCUAGCGGGCGAAGGUUGAACCGGUCGAAGAUACCAGCUGGCUGCAACUGUUUAUUAAAAACACAGCACUCUGCAAACACGAAAGUGGACGUAUAGGGUGUGAUGCCUGCCCGGUGCUGGAAGGUUAAUUGAUGGUGUAAUCGAAAGAGAAGCUCCUGAUCGAAGCCCCAGUAAACGGCGGCCGUAACUAUAACGGUCCUAAGGUAGCGAAAUUCCUUGUCGGGUAAGUUCCGACCUGCACGAAUGGCAUAAUGAUGGCCAGGCUGUCUCCACCCGAGACUCAGUGAAAUUGAAAUCGCCGUGAAGAUGCGGUGUACCCGCGGCUAGACGGAAAGACCCCGUGAACCUUUACUAUAGCUUGACACUGAACAUUGAAUUUUGAUGUGUAGGAUAGGUGGGAGACUUAGAAGUAGUCACGCCAGUGAUUAUGGAGUCGACCUUGAAAUACCACCCUUUAACGUUUGAUGUUCUAACGAAGAUUACGAAACGUGGUCUCGGACAGUGUCUGGUGGGUAGUUUGACUGGGGCGGUCUCCUCCCAAAGAGUAACGGAGGAGCACGAAGGUUUGCUAAUGACGGUCGGACAUCGUCAGGUUAGUGCAAUGGUAUAAGCAAGCUUAACUGCGAGACAGACAAGUCGAGCAGGUACGAAAGUAGGUCAUAGUGAUCCGGUGGUUCUGAAUGGAAGGGCCAUCGCUCAACGGAUAAAAGGUACUCCGGGGAUAACAGGCUGAUACCGCCCAAGAGUUCAUAUCGACGGCGGUGUUUGGCACCUCGAUGUCGGCUCAUCACAUCCUGGGGCUGAAGUAGGUCCCAAGGGUAUGGCUGUUCGCCAUUUAAAGUGGUACGCGAGCUGGGUUUAGAACGUCGUGAGACAGUUCGGUCCCUAUCUGCCGUGGGCG
rnacentral:rRNA from 1 species